UGUCACUAGGUUCCCCAUCCUCAGCUUCUGAGAGCUGCAGACAUGGGGUAGCCCUGUGACACUCCCCCACACAUGUCCUCUGUCACCCACGUGUGGGCCCUAGUUUCCUUCCCAGACAGCAACUACAGCCAGACAUGCUGAGGCCUGCAGAAUUUCUCUUCCCACAUGAAUGACUGGGCCACUCUAUGCACAGCACAGCCCUGUGAGGUUUUCCUGGCAUUUGUUCCUGCCUGUGGCAGUCUGAGAUAUACCGGGACCCUGUAACCUUCAAAUCAGUCAUCUUUCCAACUAAGGACCUCUGGAUUCUUCCAUCCACCACUGCCAUGUCUGGACUCUUCGGACUGUGGAUAAGAGGACACUGGAAUCGACUUUCUCCGCAAUGCUUGGGCCAACAGUAGGCGAGUCUUCCUAAAGAACCUAAUCCACAGGUCUCACGCUGUCAGCAGAAGGCAGGUGUCCUUAAAGCCUAUGACCUCAACACUGUAGAGGACCUGGGGGUGGCUGUCCAUGCAGCCAGCUAGUAAGUCUCUGUUACUCUUUAAUCAUUAACUCAGGUAAAAUUUUAUCCUUCUCAAGAACUCUG